CGCAGACAAUAAAUUGUACUAUUCUUUCUCCUUCUUUAUUAGUAGUUCACAGAAAGCAUAUGAAAUCGAGUUCCUCUUCUCUCUAUUUCUCUCAGCCUGUCUCUCUUGCAUUUGUCUUACCCUUUGAUUUUAAAUCUCAUGCGUCAAACUGAAAUCCUGGAUUCUGUAUCCAAUCUGCUUCCAAAGAUGUAGAGUGAAGUGGAAACUAUAUAAAACAGAUCAUUUCUUGGUUUAUUUUAUCAUUUCUUUUUCUUUCUCGUCUACAAUGAUGUAUGUAUCUCAGAACUGAAUUCCCAAUUCAAAGUAUUGGUUCUGCUCCUGAUCUUGGUCAGUGUCGCUCUGUUUUCUCUGAUCUUCUGUGGAAUUUGAGCUCCAGCUAAAAGAAAAUGGCUCCAAACUCAGUUGUUGUCACCAUGGAGAAGCCUAACCACUUCUCUAUAGUAGAAAUCAAUGCCUCAGAUCCAUCUUUGUUUCCUGAGAAACGAAAGGCUGUGAGCCCCAAGCAAUUCUCAUGGGUUCUUCUCCUCAAAGCUUAUAAAGCUCUCACUUGCGUUUCGUGGUUGGCAUUGGCUUUUAAAGCCACAUUUAUUUCAAUCAAGAAACGCUUUGCUUUAUCUAAAAUGAGUAAAGAGGAGCCUAGAAGUAGAGGAAAGUUGUAUAGAUUUAUCAAAGCAUUUCUUGUUAUAUCUAUAGUAGCUUUGAUCAUAGAAGUUAUUGCACAUUUCAAGAUUUGGAGCUCGAAUCUGAAAAAUCCAUGGGAGAUUCAGGGUCUAGUGCAAUGGUGUUAUAUGGCCUGGUUAUCAUUUAGAGCUCAUUAUAUUGCUCCUUUGGUGAUAACGGUUUCCAAAUUCUGUACUGUGCUAUUCCUGAUCCAAUCUCUCGACAGGCUAGUUCUUUGUCUGGGAUGUUUCUGGAUUAAGUACAAGAAGUUGAAGCCUGAGAUAAAUGGUGAGGCUUAUGACAUUGAGGAUCCUUCAAGUUUUCCAAUGGUUCUUGUUCAGAUUCCAAUGUGCAAUGAGAAAGAGGUCUAUUCACAAUCCAUUUCUGCAGCCUGUCAGCUUGAUUGGCCAAGGGACAGGUUGUUAAUUCAAGUUCUAGAUGAUUCUGAUGAUGGAAAUGUGCAGCUCUUAAUCAAAGAUGAAGUUUCUUCAUGGCGUCAGAAAGGGAUCAAUAUAUUCUACAGACAUAGAUUGAUCAGAACAGGAUACAAAGCUGGCAAUCUUAAAUCAGCCAUGGGCUGUGACUAUGUCCGGGACUAUGAAUUCGUCGCGAUAUUCGAUGCAGACUUUCAGCCCAAUCCAGACUUCCUCAAGCAAACAAUUCCUCACUUCAAGGGGAAUCCUGAAUUGGGUCUACUUCAGGCUCGCUGGUCUU
rnacentral:misc_RNA from 1 species